rnacentral:lncRNA from 1 species
GAACGUUAAUUUGGUAGUAUCGUUUUGCAACAUCCUUCCAUUUCAUACCAAGCCAGCUAUUGAUAAUGAAAAUGUGUUCGAUUGAAAUAUGAUGUUUUUAUUUAAUUAUUCUUCUGCAGGUAAAAGAACAAUUUACAUGUUUUUCCUUUGUUUUAUUUUUUGUUAUUUAAAUUUACUAUGGUGGUUACUAAACUUUUCGUGGCAUUUCAUGUUGAACUCUGUUACGUAAGGCUUCUCUAUACCUAUGUAUUAACAAGAAAUAGUUGUUCCUGUUGCUAGGUUCUGUUGUGUUGUGUGCUGGGUGCUUUUGGUACUUGUGAAGGCAAAAUAUGUAUUGGAAAUUUGAAAACUACAUGUUUGUGUUAGACUAGGCUUUUCCUGUCACAGAUUUUGGAAAUGUGAUACUGGCUGAGGUGUGCUGGGAUGUCUUGGUUGGUGCAAUCAGCUCACGCAUAUUUAGAGGCGAGUAUGUUUUUAGGUUCGAAUUAUGGCUGACGUGUUAAUAGCCGAUGACUUGCGGAUUUUAUAAGAGAUUUGGAUCUUUGCCGAAUUUGGAUCCCAUAAAUUGUGGUUUUUAAAAUGCAGGAUUGUGGCAAAAUGUUUCUAUUGGAUGUUCAUUAGCUGGGAGUUCUAGUGCCGAACCCAUUUACCGGGGGUUAAAUCGAGUUUACAUUAUAAAUGAUAGAUGACAUUCCUUGUCGAAAACAUGUGUGGUGAGAAAGGAAAAUGUUUGUUGACUGGUGAUAGAAAAAUUUACGGUACUACGAGGCUCGUCCUGAGAUUUUGCGAUGCAUCGAAGUUUUUCCAAUACUUAAGUUAUCUCACUUGUUAAAAUGGAUUUCAGAUAAUGUUCGGAUGAUUUUGUAAUCUGUGACCCUGUUUCCGUUGUCUUGUGAUAUGUAUGUGACGGCAUAGAUGUUGUAUAUUCCGGGAAAGGGAUGCGGAAGGAAAGUCCUAUGGUUUCAUCGAGUUGUAUUGUAUAUCGACUAGUGUUGAUUGCUUGACAAGCGCUUUGUCGUUUUGCUUACCUUCCGGCAUUUAUUCAUGUUUCCCUGGCUAAUGUGCAAAUCCCUAUAAAAUCAUACAUGAAAUGUGACGAAAUAUUACAUGUAUAGGUCUAUAUAUACAAUAAAAUAAAUAUCGAAAAAUAUGCAUUUAAA